GGAAGCUGCAGAAGCACAGGAAGAGCUGCUGCUGUUUAAACAAGAGCUCAACAUAUAUAUAUAUAUAUAUAAAGCAGAAGACGAGUGUCAGACACACAGAAUGGCUGAUAGGAGUCCUCUGUUUCUGCUGCUCAUCUUCUGGACACUCAGCACAGGUGUGUUUGGAGCAGAAGACACUCGUGUGUUCAGCAGUUCUGGAGAAACUGUUCAUCUGCCCUGUAGAAACACUGAUCAGCCCUGCAGACCAUCAGGAACUACAUGGACCUACAGCAGUUACAGACAGACAACAGCAGUUGAGCUGAUUGGUUUAGGGGUAAAUAAGACAAACUCAGAGAGACUGAAUCUGGGCUCUGACUGCUCUCUGAUCAUCAGUAGAGUCACAACAGAAGAUGCUGGACUUUACACCUGUCAACAGUGGAGUGGAGAAGGAGGACACCGGUAUGGAGCUGAUUCAGUUGUGUUUCUGCAUGUUGUUGCUGUCUCUCCAUCAUCAUCAUCAUCAUCAUCAUCUUCUUCAUCAUCAUCUGAUAUUGGUCCGGGUGUCUUUCUGACUCUUUCCUGUCAGCUGUAUUCAGACAAUGGACACUCUUGUGAAAGUUUGGUCACAUAUGAGCAUCUUCAUCUGUCCUGGGUGAAUGAGGCUGGUGUUGAUCUGAACACAAACUCCAGAUAUCAGAUAAUCUUCUAUCCUCAACACUGUCUCAUCAGUCUGUCUACAACACUCAUCAGUGAAGAUGAAGAUAAACAGUGGAGAUGUGGAGUCUAUCAGAGAAAUCAACUGAAGACCUCAGACACGUUUACUGUCCACUAUUCAGCUAAAGCUCAAACAACAACAACAGCAACAACAGCAACAACAACAGCAGCAGCAGCAGCAGUGACUCCAGACCACAACACAAACACAAAAAAAACCAGCAGGAGCUGCUUCACCAGUGCUUUCAGUUCUGCUUUCUGCUGCUGCUUUGGCUGUUUUCAUCGCUGCUGUUCUGUGUUUGAUCCAGCGCAGAAGAAGAGCUGCUCAUCAAAGAGCGAGCGGUGAAUCAGCGGUCAAAGAUGAGAAUCAAGUCCACUAUCAAACAAUCCACAUGUCCAUUAAUCCUGCUGCCAGAGCCCAUGAGCAGACGGAGGAUUCAGUCACUUAUUCUGAGGUCACUUGUGCUGGGAAAAAGCCGGAGAAAUCAGCCAGUGAUGAUGAUGGUAAUGACUCAGUGACUUACGCCGCCGUCAGCAGAAGAGCUUAAUGUGUGCAGAAGAAGAAAAAGAGCCUUCAGGAAUAAAGAUCAACACAAACAGGCAGAAAUCACAGCAGCAUCACUGCAGCAUUUCAGGAGCACAAGUUUCCCUCAAAUGCGCAGAUUCAGGACUUUAGUGUGGAGAAUUGGAGAGAUUUAGAGCAGAACAAACACAGCUGGAAUAUUACUGCACUGGAAAGAGGACAAAGCAGCUGUUCUGAAGGAGAGAAAGAAAGAAAGAAAGAAAGAUAGAAAGAGAGAAA